AUUGAACGCUGGCGGCAGGCCUAACACAUGCAAGUCGAGCGGAUGAAGGGAGCUUGCUCCUGGAUUCAGAGGCGGACGGGUGAGUGAAGCAUAUGAGUAUGCCUGGUAUUGGGGGAUAACGUCCGGAAACGGGCGCUACUACCGCAUACGUCCUGAGGGAGAAGGUGGGGGAUCUUUGGACCUCUCGCUCGCUGGUGAGCGUAGGCGGGAUUAGCUAGUUGGUGGGGUAAAGGCCUACCAAGGCGAAGAUCCGCAAGUGGUCUGAGAGGGGGAUCAGUCGCACGGGAACGGGGACACGGUCCAGACGCCUACGGGAGGCAGCAGUGGGGAAUAUUGGACAGUGGGCGAAAGCCUGAUCCAGCCAUGCGGCGUGUGUGAAGAAGGUCUUCGGAUUGUAAAGCACUUUAAGUUGGGAGGAAGGGCAGUAAGUUAAUACCUUGCUGUUUUGACGUUACCAACAGAAUAAGCACCGGCUAACUACGUG
rnacentral:rRNA from 1 species